AUGUGGCUGCUAAAAAUGUGGCAUUUCGGUCUCUUUAGAAAGCUUGUUCAGCCGUCACUGGGAUCUUGGCAGCCAUUCCCCACCUCUUGCUCAUCAGGAUCAUUGGAGAUGGCCCAUUCAGAAAUGCAUUUCUCCAGUUCAUCAUCUACCAACCCUCCAGCCUGGAAUCCUGGACUGCAGUUACUACAAUACAAAUGGUGCCGUGGAAACACAGAGCAGGUCCCACCUUCCCUGCAAUUGACCGCCACCCCACCCCACGCUGCCCAGAGUCACCAUACUCACCCUUUCUUAUGCCUCACGACAGAACAGGCUGGCAUCUACCUGCCCGACUCACUCGUCCUUGGGAGCUGUAACUCCACUGCCAGGAGAGCCUAUGGAGAAGCAUGUUCCGGGAAGGUCUUGAAUGCAUGAUAUGUAUAGUGUAUAAUAAUACAUUGGUAGCCGAACCCUUCUUGGUAACAAAUUGCCUUACAACUGGAGUCACCCCCAAGAGUCACGCUCUGCGUUUGAGUCCGGUGGGCUGGAGAUAGAGGUGCCCCUCCUCCUUCAGCUCUGGGCUGCCUCUAUGCCCUGUGUCCAUCCAGGGCUUGUCAGCUUGGUGUGGAAGCAGUCCAAUACGCCAAAUGACCAACUGGCCAAGUGUCCGAUCUGCUGAGUUUAACAAGUUAACUAGACACUUGCUUCUCUUAACUAUUUAGAAAGUUUUCAGUGAUCUGUGUGGAAUGAAACCAUUUUAACAGCUUUUGAAGAUCUCUGUGGAGCUGUAAUCACCCGCUGUUUGUUUAUUUUAGCCUCAUCACAACAAUAGAUGGAGGUUGCUGGGACAGAGAGUGGGGACUUUUCUGGGGAACGACAGCUUCAAGUCAGCACACAGCUCAGCCUGGCGGUCAAGCCUGGAUGGAGACUAAAAGGCAAACCUAUGGGAGAUUAGGGGGUGAGCGGGGAGACUCAGGGCAGAAAGUGGGGAGAAUGACGACUAGAGGAGCAUCUGAAGGCCCCAGAGCCACGGAGCCCGGCUCCCCCAGCCCUGCUGAGCCUGCUAAUCCACCCAGCAGAUGAGAAAGCAACGUCUCAGAUGAGUUGGUUGCAGCCAGUUUCAGUUUUAUUUCAAACUUGCAACAAAGAAGCUACUUCUGUGAAAGCCAGUUCUGCGAUUUCGUCUGUAGUGGGGACAUUUGUAGCAGAGGAAGGGCACCUCAGCCCCUGUUAGAGGAGGUACGAUGAAGGAGCGGGGCGGAGGGGGUCACAGGGCUGAGGGAAAGCUGAGUGGGUCCGUCUAAAUUCUCCAAGGGGCUGGAGAGCAUGUCAUGCAAAAUCGUUCUCAGCUGUCGAAGACUAGGUGUGGAACAAUUUUCUUUCAUGAAGACUCUCAGUCAAGACCAUAUCUAAAAGAAACAAGGGAUGUGUGUGA
rnacentral:lncRNA from 1 species